GUCUACGGCCAUACCACCCCAAAUGUGCCCGAUCUCAUCUAAUCUUGGAAGUUAAGCAGAGUCGGGCCUGGUUAGUACUUGGAUGGGACUGUAAGGUAGUGAUAUGUGUUGUUGUAAGCC
ensembl:rRNA 5S_rRNA 5S ribosomal RNA